UUCCCCUUUUGUUUAGCUAUUGCGAGUUGCAUACUAGCCCCGUUAAUGGCUGGAAGCUGCCUGUCCUGCUGGAGCAUGGGGAUGCACUCGGGAACCUUUCGCUCCGGGGGAGAAGCGCCCGUGUAACCCGGCCCCACGGGGACGCCCCGCGGCGCGAACUCUCUCUGCGCCGGCCGCCUCGCGUCAGUCCCGGGAGCGCUCCUGCGUCGCCCCUUCCCCAGCCGCUGCUCUCGGGGCCGCGGGCUCUCCUGCCUCCCGCUCCCCGACACCGUUGUGUUGCUCCGGUGGGUGCCCUGGCAGCAGCUGCAGCUCCUCGGUGGAUGCAGGAGCGGGGGGGCGGGCAGCGCCGAACUGCUGCCAUUGGUUGCCGGUGAGGGCUGGUCUCCAGCCAAGGCCCCAGCUGCGCUCCGCCAGCGAUGCUCCCGCCGCAGGUGCACAGCAGCUCGGGACGUGCCCAGAGGCGGCGGGAAGGGACGAAGGUGGCGGAGAGGGGGAAGGGACUUUCGUGAUAGCAAGUUGGUGAGCCAGAAGCUGCAGCUUGCGCGCAUCAGGCUCCGGGAAAGGGGGCUUGACCCCCGGCCAUUCCCUCCGCCAUCUCGCUGGGCUCCGGGCUGGCCCGCCGCCUGCAGAGAGAGCUCCCCGUGGCAGGUGCCCAGCGAGCUGUCUGUGCGUUUCCACCGCGGGCAGCCCCGGGGAAACUCGCCCCCGGAGAUCUGCACCGAGCCAGCCUCCCUUGCUCCCCAGCGCUACCGCCACCGAGCGGGGCUGUUCCCACUGCCCUGGCCACGUGAGGAGCUGCUGCCGCUGGGGCCGGUGCCCGGGCUCGCUGUGGCACCCCUAGCCCUGCCUGUGCGUGUGUGGUGCUAGGCGGCGACGGCUGGAGCAAGCGCUCAGCUGAAUUAACAGAGUUGCCACCAGCUGCUCUUAGUUGCCUCAGCAGUAAAGGGGGCUGCUGCCUGAACAAGCCUCUUGGCCGAGGUGAUUCCCGGUAAGUGCAUUUCUUAAUGGUCGUUCCGGAGCGGAUGCGACUGGACCGUCGCUUUCUGGGCGGCUGGGGAAGG
rnacentral:lncRNA from 1 species